rnacentral:rRNA from 1 species
CUGGCUCAGAUUGAACGCUGGCGGCAGCCCUUAUACAUGCAAGUCGAACGAGAAAGUUCCUUCGGGAGCGAGUAAAGUGGCGGACGGGUGAGUAACGCGUAGGAAUCUACCUUUCAGUGGGGGAUAGCUCGGGGAAACUCGAAUUAAUACCGCAUAUACCCUUCGGGGGAAAGGGGGCCUCUCCUUGGAAGCUCUCGCUGUUAGAUGAGCCUGCGUGAGAUUAGCUUGUUGGUAAGGUAAUGGCUUACCAAGGCUACGAUCUCUAGCUGGUCUGAGAGGACGAUCAGCCACACUGGGACUGAGACACGGCCCAGACUCCUACGGGAGGCAGCAGUAGGGAAUAUUGGACAAUGGGGGCAACCCUGAUCCAGGCAUGCCGCGUGUGUGAAGAAGGCCUUAGGGCUGUAAAGCACUUUAAGUGAGGAAGAAAAGAUUUAAAUUAAUACUUUAAGACCCUGACAUUACUCACAGAAUAAGGACCGGCUAACUCCGUGCCAGCAGCCGCGGUAAUACGGAGGGUCCAAGCGUUAAUCGGAAUUACUGGGCGUAAAGCGCGCGUAGAUGGUUUAUUCAGUUGGGGUGUGAAAUCCCAGAGCUUAACUCUGGAACUGCCAUUNAAACUUUUCAGCUAGAGUAUGAUAGAGGAAAGCAGAAUUUCUAGUGUAGAAGGUGAAAUUCGUAGAUAUUAGAAAGAAUACCAAUUGCGAAGGCAGCUUUCUGGAUCAUUACUGACACUGAGGAACGAAAGCAUGGGUAGCGAAGAGGAUUAGAUACCCUCGUAGUCCAUGCCGUAAACGAUGUGUGUUAGACGUUGGAAAUUUAUUUUCAGUGUCGCAGCGAAAGCGAUAAACACACCGCCUGGGGAGUACGACCGCAAGGUUAAAACUCAAAUGAAUUGACGGGGACCCGCACAAGUAGUGGAGCAUGUGGUUUAAUUCGAAGAUACGCGCAGAACCUUACCAACACUUGACAUGUUCGUCGCGACUCUAAGAGAUUAGAGUUUUCGGUUCGGCCGGACGAAACACAGGUGCUGCAUGGCUGUCGUCAGCUCGUGUCGUGAGAUGUUGGGUUAAGUCCCGCAACGAGCGCAACCCUCACUUUUAGUUGCCAUCAUUUAGUUGGGCACUCUGAAAGAACUGCCAGUGAUAAGCUGGAGGAAGGUGGGGAUGACGUCAAGUCCUCAUGGCCCUUACGUGUUGGGCUACACACGUGCUACAAUGGUAUCUACAACAGGAAGCAAGACUGCGAGGUCAAGCAAAUCCUUAAAAGAUACCUCAGUUCGGAUUGCACUCUGCAACUCGAGUGCAUGAAGCUGGAAUUACUAGUAAUCGUGGAUCAGCGUGCCACGGUGAAUGCGUUCCCGGGUCUUGCA